AACGUAGGAGACAAACGUUAUCCGGAGUUACUGGGCGUAAAGGGCGUGCAGGUGGUCUGUUAAGUCUGGCGUGAAAGCUCUCGGCUAAACCGGGAGAGGUCGUUGGAUACUGGCGGACUAGAGGACGGUAGAGGCGUGUGGAAUUCCGGGUGUAGUGGUGAAAUGCGUAGAGAUCCGGAGGAACAUCAGUGGCGAAGGCGACACGCUGGGCCGUACCUGACACUAAAACGCGACAGCAUGGGGAGCGAACGGG
rnacentral:rRNA from 1 species